CAACGAUAUCAGUUCAUACACAUGGGCUUGAAUACUUCCCAUUUACAAGGCCUCGGAAGACAGCAAGCCCCGAGGGGUUUGGAAAAGAAGGCAGGCAACUCACAUGAAGCCCAUAGGCAGACAAAAUAAGCAGUGUUAGCUGGUUGCCUGACGCUCUCACUGCCCCUCCGGCAUAAAUGCUGCGCUGCCAUCGCGGCAGGCUAAACAGAAAUGCUGAGCCUCCCAAGCUAAAGGGAAAGUCAGCCCUGCUGAGGAGGGGGGCGGAGGAGCUCAGUCACUGAGGCUGCCACACCAGAGUCGGGGGUGAGGGAUCAAGGCGAGGCUGACAGGUGACAGGGUGAGUGGAAAAUCCUAAGAGCAAAGCUUCUCAGGGACCAGCAACCCGCGCAACACAGGUGCGACAUGAAGACAUCAUCUGUGGCAGGCUGUCGCUGUUCCAACAGUUUUAUCAUCUUACAGAAGAUCAUGGAUGGUAAAGAUGAAGUUGCCUUUUAAGUGGGAAGAAUGGAACGUCUCUCUGCUUCCACCACAAACUAAAGUUAAGGGAACUACUCGAGCUGCCACCUGGGACCCAUAGCGGAAGCUUCUCUCUGAGGAUGGCGAUGAGCCCACAUCAGAUGGAAACUCCUGGGUUCUCUGAUGACUGCGGGGCCACCAUACCAGUCCCGGACACCCUUCAUUUAUGUUAUCUUUAGGUUAAAUACCAGCGGAACUGUCAGCCUGCAAGUCUCAGAGAUGGAUGCUUUGUGAAGUGCUACAAAAGGAUGAUCCUUCCCACAUCCUCAUGAAUUUACGUCACUUUUGUGGAAGAACAAGGCUCAAGACAGUCAAUGCCAAAGAUCAUCCUGUCUCCAGGCUCUGCUGAACCUGCCGAUCGGUGGGAAAUGACGGGAGACAAUGAGUCCACUGAGAGGUGAUGGAGAAUGGCAGGCACUGAGCUAAGAUACCUUAAAUGUGAUGCUUCUCAUGCUGACGGCCAACUGAAAACAAUCUCAUCAUUACUUCUUAUUAUGAUAUACAUUUUAAUUUGUUUUUCUCCUCAAUCUGGGUAUAGCUGCUAUGCAAAUAUGUCUUUUAAAUGUUUGGAUAGAGGCCACGCCCAUGAUGUUAAAAGUUAGCAAUCAGUAUUUAUGUAACUUCGUAGGUCUUGUGAGAGGGCGCAAAUCUGAAUGCAUACAUCUUACUAAUUAAGCUCAUUGAAGACAUGCAAUAAACCACACUCAAGAUGCAGUUACCUUUAAUUUUGGUGGAUUGAUCUCCUGUUGAUAAGAAUAUUUAGGGAGGAGAGGAGGUGAGCAGGGCUGAGAAAGUGUAGAGUCCAGGUCAGAAACAGAGGCGAAGAGAGAAUGAAAUGGAGGGGAGGAAAGCAGGUGGCUGGGAAAGGGUGUGGGUGCUUGCUCUCCCGAAGAAAAUGACGGAGGCUUAAAUAUCGAGGAAAGACGAGAGGUGAUUAUGCUUGUCUCAGAAUGAGGUUACAUGCUCUUUACGGAAUUUCCUCUCAACUUCCAACAUUUUAAAGUUACUAAUAACCUUGGGAAGUUAUAUUUAUGACAAAUUUUUUGCUUUGAAACCACUAACUUCCUCUUUUGAAUUUGAUUCAAAAUCCCCAAUGGUAUGAUCAGUUUAAUUUUUCGCAUGGGGGUGGCUGGAGAUAGGAACACCUAUAUUCUAUCAUUUUCUCAUAUAUUUAUAUGAUGGCUCCUUCUAAAAGUGAAGGAAAAAAGUAUUUAAAACCCUGCAAUGACUGUAACUUGCGUGUAAAGUAGGUUGCCAACUAUAGUCAGCGUGUCACAAAGCUGGGGAAGCCGUGGCCCCGCGUGCAGGGUGUGAGCUGGUGCUGGGAUGAGCCGGCCUAGGGUACUGUCUGUGUCAGCAAAGCCACACAUCUAAUCACACCUUCAGAUUGAUUGAAUUGAAAGGAAUAUUAGUUACUGAAAUAAUUGAUGUAGAGACACGUUUGGCUCCUUGCAAUGAAUUAUCUAUCUGUUAUUAAAUAAGGUGUUUGUUUUACACAAAUGCAGGCCUGGCCGGGUUAUUUUGAAAUACAGGAACUAUGAAAGAAUUUGACUUGGAUAGUAGCGUAAUAGGAACCAUCCUUUCUGUUAUUUCAUAAUUUCUAUAAUUGCCAGUAAUUAUACUUGCUUCUUAAUUCACAGGGUACAUUUGUGGGAUCAAGUUUCUUUUUAUUUUUGAAAUGGAGUUUUGCUCUUUUUGCCCAGAACGGAGUGCAGUGGCACAACUUCAGUUCACUGCAACCUCCGCCUCCCGGUUUGAAGCAGUUCUCCUGCCUCAGCCUCCCGAGUAGCUGGGAUUACAGGCACCCAACACCAUGUCUGACUAAUUUUUGUAUUUUUAGUGGAGAUGGGGGUUUUACCAUGUUGGACAGGUUGGUUUCGAACUCCUGACCUCAGAUGAUCCACCAGCCUUGGGCUCCCAAAGUGCUGGAUUACAGGCGUAAGCCACCGCAGCUGGCCUUAAGUUUCUCUUUUUUUUUGAGAUGGAGUCUCGCUCUGUCACCCAGGCUGGAGUGCACUGGCACGAUCUCAGCUCAUUACAACCUCCUCCUCCCGGGUUCAAGUGAUUCUCCUGCCUCAGCCUCCCGAGUAGCUGGGAUUGUAGGCACCCACCACCACGCCUGGCUAGUUUUUGUAUUUUUGGUAGUGACGGGGUUUCACCAUGUUGGCCAGGCUGAUCUCAAAUUCCUGACCUCAGGUGAUCUGCCUGCCUCGGCCUCUGGAAGUGCUGGCGUUGCAGGCUCGUUUUUUGUUUUAAGAGAGAGGUUUGCAAGCUAAAGUUUCUGGAUAUUUUCUGCCUUUGUUGAUUAAAACCACUGUUCAAGAUUCUUCAUAACAUGAAGAUACAGUACCCAGUUCUUAAGUAGUCAAUGUGAAGUCAACACAAAGAGAACGACCUCUUUAGAAAAUCGAAAGGGGACAGAAGUGCUGUUUUUCUUUUCUGUUGUCUUUGUUUAUUAUUAGCAUUAUUAUUUUUGCAAAGUGCCGUUAUGUCAAAGGUAUGGUGUACAGUUUCUCAUCCUGGAAUAGGACAAAUUUCUGGGCAUCAACUUCCUCUUCUCUAAAGUGGGGAUGAUAAUGUCACACACCUCACUGGGUUUUGACGAUUAAAGAUGUGGAGUUUUUAGAAUAGUGUCUGAUACUCAGUAAGAGCUCCACUAUUAGCUAUCAUUGUUAAUAUUGGAAGAUUACAAAGACUAUAUCAAUUACAAAGACUUUUACAAUAUAAGUUUAUGGUCCUGAAGAAAAAUGGGAUAAUGGAAUUAUAUCACAUAUUUACAUCAUUUAAUUAAAUAUGGUGUGUUUUCAUAUACCCACUCCACCCCCAUCUUAUAUAGUAUUUGUGUUUUUUGUUUAAAAAAAUCUGUUAGUCAAAAUAGGUAUUUAUUAAUAUGAUUAACUCUAAUAGCUAAUCAUGGUAAGGCCGGUUAGUUCUUCCAUAAUCAGACAAAAUUAAAAUACCUCAUUACUGGGUUUUGCUGCAUUGCUGUCCUCCUUGGGGGUCCUAGGAUCUGUGGGGGUGGCUAUGGGGUGUUUUAGGCAGUUGGGUUUCUCCUCCUCCUCCUCCUCUUCAAUGUGCAGGUGUGGGGUGCCCUCUGACCCAUCGUGGCCACACCACCAGGCGUCUCCUUCCUGAGGUUCUGGCGGCCCUCUCUGGAUGCCUGACACAAUCCCCUCAUAGAUGCCCUCAUCUUCCUCUCCAAUGACCGGAAGGGGUACAGGCAAGGAACCCACGCUGGUGCACGCAGAGGCCACAAAAUUAUCCCCUAGGACUUCUGGUGCCUUUUUAGGGUCUGAGAAGCCCCUUCUCAUUUUUCUCAACUCUGCAAAGUUGCUUUGAGUUGUCGUUCUGGGAUCCUGAAGAGGCUCUGCAUGGUAAGGCUGGGCUGCAGCCGAGGCCACACCCGCGUGAGUGGAAGGUGAUUCGGCAGGUGCAGUCGCUGGGGACAAUGGGAGGAGGACAGCAGGUUCCUCCUUAAUUUCCAGGAUGGCGU
rnacentral:lncRNA from 1 species